UCCCAGCCCACUCUGAGGGCAAAGGAGAAUCAAAGAGGCUGCUUUAGGGCCCAGCGUCUGGGGCUUUUGCAGGGCAGAGGGCAGAAUCUCUUUUCCCAGCAACCCCCUCCCCCCACGACAGCUGGGAGCAACCCUCACCUCUGCUUCAAUCUGUACUCUUCCAGGCUGGCUGCCUGUACUCUGCCUGCCAACGUGGGGCUGUGGGGGCAGCAUCCCUCACAAGUCUGCAGAUGUGGACCUGGGCUUUUGUGAAAACCAACACCCAGUUCCUGCCAUAUCCCCAGGCUCUUUCCACAGGAGAGAAGUGGCAGGAAGGAACGCAGCCCUGACACUCAAAGGAACUCGGGGCAUCCUGCCUGUUCGUGUCCACACGUAGGGUUGGGCUCCUGACCACUUCUCCAACUGUGGAAAAGAAAUGAGCUUGAUAAGGGGAGUCAGAGGUACAGCCCUCCUUCCUCCAAGGGCUGAAAAAGCAGCCCUUAUUGACUGGCUUCUAUCACUCAUCUCAUUAAAGCCUUGUGAAAGCACCUUUGGCUCCACCCUCCACUUCUGAGCACUCUUUUGAAGGGAUUAGCACUCCCAGACUCUGGACUCGGGGGCUUGGAAAAGCUCUAUAGGUUUGAGAUUUACUGUGGCUCCAGGGAGCUGAGAGAUAGGCCAGCCUGAGUCAGGGCCGGAAGAAUGUUCUUCUAUUGUUCUGUCUGGGGGACAGGCACUCUGGCAGUCAUAGUAUCUUUCACUCUAUUCGCUUUCACUGCACUGGCUCUGGUUUGCGAGGUGUCCCCAGCAGCCUCCUGCAUGGUGCCCAUCACUCACUCCACACUGUCCUCCCUGUAAUCUGUCUUCUGUGCCAGCCAUCCUUGAAGUGACCUUCCUUUUUUUGUUGUUGUUUGAGACAGAGUCUCACUCUGUUGCCUAGGCUGGAGUGCAGUGGCCUAAUCUUGGCUCACUGCAACAUCUGCCUCCUGGGUUCAAGCAAUUCUCCUGCCUCAGCCUCCCGAGAAGCUGGGAUUACAGGUGAUCGCCACCACGCCUGGCUAAUUUUUGUAUCUUUAGUAGUGACGGGCUUUUGCCAUGUUGGCCAGGCUGGUCUCAAACUCCUGACCUCAAGUGAUCUGCCUGCCUCGGCCUCCCAAAGUGCUGGAAUUACAGGCGUGAGCCACCACUCCCAGCCUGAAGUGGCCCUUCUAAGCCUCUGAUCUUAUCAUCAUUGAGUGCUUUUCAUCAUCAUGCUGGGUCCCUGCCGUAAAACCUCCCAGUGCCUUCUGGUCUUAGUUUGGGUUCUUCCACAAAGCAGACCCACAGGUAGGGAUUUGGGUACAGUCAAGAGGCUGCAUACCAUGCUAGUUAAACACAUGAAUUUGGACUCAGAUGUUCUGAGUUCAAAUCCUGACUGUAUGACUUGGAACCACGCUUUCCAUAUCUGUAGAGUGUGAACAACCAGCAUAUCUACCUUACAGGGUUACGGUAAGAAUGAAGUGUGUGAAUAAAGCAUUCAGUGCUGAGCUGGCCACAGAAGGAAGGUUUUUAUUAUGGGAUACAUCCUGGCAUAGCUUUCUGUUCACAAGGCCCACCUGCCACAUUAUAGUUGUUAGUCUCUUUGUGUGGCUUAGUCUGCAUGCCCUAACCCCAAAUUCCAUGAGCAUAGGCUUUAUGCCUCACGUAGUUCUGUAUCCCUCCCAGUGCCUAGCUCUGAGCUGAGCAAACAGACACUCAUGAUAGGUGGAAGGGAACCAGCAGGUACUGACCUCCUUCCUAUGUAAACAACAGGCAUUAUCCUUAUUUUGAAAAUACAUAAAUAGAGACUUAGAUGUUAGCUAACUCGACCAAGGUCACACAGCUUGAAUUUAGAACAUGUUUGAACUGACCAACUUCAACCUUAAUGCAUGAUUUUUAUUGCACUGAGCCACUUGCUCAUGGUUUGACCCAGAAGAGAAAAUACCAACCAAAUAUUAGAGAUGACAUUUUACCAACUGCUAGGACUAAGAGGUGAUGAGAAAGAGCCCAGUGACCAAGGUGUGGGUGUAUCCAGGAAAAGAAAUAAACCUGUAUGAUCAAGGCGCCAGAAUAGCUAUCUUUAUAGGUUAUUUGAUUGUAAGCAACAGAAACCUAUUCUGGCUAACAUAAGCCCAAAACGCUAGUAUUGGAAGAAUUGGAAGAAGUAGCUCACAAAAUAGAAGAACCAGACGUCAGAGGGGUCAGGGAGCUGGUUGGACUUGGGAUCUAAGUAGCAGUAAGUAAUGUGAUCAACCUGAAUCACAUGACAGCCUCUUAGCUCUAGGCAGUCAGGGUUUGAGUGACUGUCCCACGCAGACUGCAUGUAACAACAGUGGGUGGGAACAAGUUUCAAAAAGGGAAAUGAGCAUGCUAAGACCAGAAAGAAAAGAAAUAGAUAUUAGGUUGGCCAAAACAGCUGAUGCCCUUUGCAGUGACAGUGUCAGCUAAUUUUAGCAAUAUAUAUCAUCUGCUGGGUUUUCUAUGUGUUAGGCAGCAUUGC
rnacentral:lncRNA from 1 species